GCGCCGGUUGCUCAGCCCGGCCGGAGUUCCCAGGGGCAAAGCCUCGCGUAAGCCUCAUAAGCGGGUCCCGGGUUC
rnacentral:tRNA from 1 species